rnacentral:misc_RNA from 1 species
CUUUGCUUUGGUUUAAGAAAUGGAUCAUCCUUAACGAAAAGUAAGUUGGCGGCAACCACGGCAGCGACGAUCCCGCCCAAGAUUGCCACUGGGCCCGUCAGGAGACUCCAUUUUCUGUAUAUCAUCUUCUCCCUCUGCAGUUUUUACUCUUUCCGGUCCUCCUCCGAAUGCCGAAAGAACAAACCACUGCAAUCUGCAAUCACAACUUUCUUCCUUCUAUGGAUUGGGC